rnacentral:lncRNA from 1 species
UUGGGCUUAAAGUCAGUUGUAACCAAGUCUGGUCUUUGCAUGUUUCGGUCGAUCGACAACAUAAGGUGUGUGUCGAUUGAUUAUCAUCUUCAAUCAUCGUCUGCUGGGCUGUUCGAUAGUCAGCUACAUAUCUUUUUUAUUUUAUCUCCAAAAUGCAUCAAAAUCCCGACUUUCCUCCAAAUCACUCCAAAAUCUGACAACAUACUAAAAGACUCAAAAAAAAAACUAUAAUGUAUCUAAAAGCACCUAUGUACCAUCGUUAAAAAUGAGUAAAAUCUAUGGUAUAUCACUAGCUGCUAGACAUGGAUCCAAACGAAAAUUGGAAAAGUCAGAUUAAUAAGUUUUUUUUUUCUUUUUUAUACUUUUUCUAUUUUAUAAUAUACUAGAGGAGCACGGGUAUUUAUAUUUACUUUUUAUAUAUAAAUUUCUCUUUUUUAUGUAUAUUAAUGAUUUAUAUAUAUUAAAUAAUUGAUUAAUAUGACAUUUCUAAUUAUAAUACUUUAACUUAUUACAUUAAAUAUUAUCUUUUCUUUUUCAAACAGUCACUUGUAUCACAUAUAUUUCUUAUUGUAUUCAAUUUAUAUUUGAUUAUUGUUUAUAUGAACAUAUAAAAAUAAUAAUAUAUCUACAGAUUAAUUUAUAUUGUAUUUAUAUAUUAUAUAAAUUGUUUAAUUUCAUGUGAAAUUAUAGAUCUAUUGUAGUUAAUAUCAA